AACGCAUCUUGCGCUCCUUGGUAUUCCGAGGAGCAUGCCUGUUUGAGUGUCGUGAAAUACUAUCGAUUUCAAUCUUUUUGUUUGAAGUCGGAUGUGGAUGCUGUCGCAGUCAAAUGUGACUCAUCCUAAAUGCAUUAGCGGUCUGCCUCGAUCACGCACAAUGUGAUAAGAAAAAAGCAUUGUUGAGAUUGAGUCUGGAUUGCUGCUAACUGUCCAUGGGACAAGCCAUAUUCGUGUCAUCUGACCUCAAAUCAGGUAGGAUUACCCGCUGAACUUAA
rnacentral:misc_RNA from 1 species